AUUUCAGGACUAGGCAAAAAAAGCUGAGGCAGAAGUACGCAAGGAACAUUUCAAAUUCUAGCAAUCAGUCUUCAAGCUACAAAUCAUCAGGCUGAACUCCCUAUUCUAAUGCUGGAUUAAUGCUACAGGAUCAGGGACUACAACCCCUACAGAUUAAUGAAUACUGCAAAAGUAACUUGGGUGAGGGAAGGAGAUGAUGGAAAGAAGACAUAAGGGUCAAGAAAUUCUCAGUAAAAACCUAUUCAGUAGGUUCAUCACCUUAAAGGUGAUUCCAGAACAGAAGAUGCAGCUUUAAAUGCAAGCAAGUGCUAGAGAUUGAUACACAGGUAUACCUGCAUUCAAGACUGAAACAAAGGGUCACUCUGGUACACUGAAGUGCUGUGAAUUAUAAAGUGACACUCAACAUGGAAGUAUCAAAGAUACCAAAGACCGAAAGUUUCUGAAUUGCACGAUGGGUGGAAGGCAAAAGACUAAGUCCAUCUUGCAAAGAGUUAAGUUGGAAGAUACAGCCUGAUUUGGAUGAGCACAGAAUGUACCGAUGCCAGACAGGAGGAACACAGAUGUAUUCCCACAGAUAACCUCAUACCACCUUAAUUCUGUUUGUUGCAUGAAGCAGGAAACUGGAGAAAAAGGGCAAGAUUUUUGCCAAGAGCAACUAGAGAAGUAGAUCAAAGUCUCUGCCUCAACUGAUAAGAAAGUUUCAGAAGCAGACAACAGAAGCCUGUCAGCUUGCAUACAGCAGCUAGCUGCCUGGGAUUUAAUACGUGAAGACUAUCAUUGUGGAAAGCUACAGACUGAUUCUAUGGCCAAACUCCUGAGCUAUGAUUCAUAUUCAGCAAUUUCCAGCUGUCCUGCUACGAACUGGCAUAUGUCUUCAUUUCCCUCCAAUUCAUCUUCUCUUUUUAAAGAGUCAGGAGUACUACAUUUAACACUACAAGAUAAGCUCAUGCUUCUCCAAGACACAGCUUAUUGGAGUAACUUCAUUUUAUAAGCACAAUGAAUGAAAAUAUGAGAGUCCUCAUUACACAUUUGGAAAGAUUUUGAACAAAAACUGCAAGGGAAGGAGUCUGGCUGAAGCGAUAACAGAACUUCUCCACAUGCCUUGAAAGACACUGCAGGAACCCUACAGGAAGGCAAGCAGACAGCCCUAUACAGGAGCCCUGCUAUUUCACUGGGGUGGCACAUCUAUCCUUCAACACAUUCAAUAGAUUGCCUUUGAGUUUUCAAGGACAAAAAUAAAACCUGCUUCUGCAUCUG